rnacentral:lncRNA from 1 species
AGAGCUAGUUUGUUAAAAUAUCAAGUUAAAAAAUUCAGCUUGUAUUCGGUUUGUUUAUUAACGAGUCGAACACAAGCUGACUUACGAACAGUAAGUUAAAUUAUCAGCCUUAUUAUUAAAUAAAAAUUUUGAAAAAAAACUAGAAAAUUACAAUAUUAACCAAAUUAUUAAAAUUCAUAAAGAAUAAACCUCUUUAUAUUUGGAUUGGCCUAAAAUUCAAAUAAUAAAAAAUUGUAUAACACACACACACACACAUAUAUAUUAUAUAUUCGAGCUAUUUGGAGCUGAACACGAGCGAGGUGAUCCCAGCUCGUGUUCGGCUCGUUUAUUAAACGAGCAAUCAAUUUUGAGCUCAUUUCGAGC